CCUACGGGAGGCAGCAGUGAGGAAUAUUGGUCAAUGGACGCAAGUCUGAACCAGCCAAGUAGCGUGCAGGAUGACGGCCCUCUGGGUUGUAAACUGCUUUUAGUUGGGAAUAAAAAAGAGGACGUGUCCUCUAUUGUAUGUACCUUCAGAAAAAGGACCGGCUAAUUCCGUGCCAGCAGCCGCGGUAAUACGGAAGGUCCAGGCGUUAUCCGGAUUUAUUGGGUUUAAAGGGAGCGCAGGCGGAUUAUUAAGUCAGUGGUGAAAGACGGUGGCUCAACCAUCGUUAGCCAUUGAAACUGGUAGUCUUGAGUGCAGACAGGGAUGCUGGAACUCGUGGUGUAGCGGUGAAAUGCUUAGAUAUCACGAUGAACUCCGAUCGCGAAGGCAGGUGUCCGGGCUGUAACUGACGCUGAGGCUCGAAAGUGUGGGUAUCAAACAGGAUUAGAUACCCUUGUAGUC
rnacentral:rRNA from 1 species